ACUCCUACGGGAGGCUGCAGUAGGGAAUCUUCCACAAUGGACGAAAGUCUGAUGGAGCAACGCCGCGUGAGUGAAGAAGGUUUUCGGAUCGUAAAACUCUAUUGUAAGGGAAGAACACGUACGAGAGUAACUGCUCGUACCUUGACGGUACCUUAUUAGAAAGCCACGGCUAACUACGUGCCAGCAGCCGCGGUAAUACGUAGGUGGCAAGCGUUGUUCGGAAUUAUUGGGCGUAAAGCGCGCGCAGGCGGUUCUUUAAGUCUGAUGUGAAAGCCCACGGCUCAACCGUGGAGGGUCAUUGGAAACUGGAGAACUUGAGUACAGAAGAGGAAAGCGGAAUUCCACGUGUAGCGGUGAAAUGCGUAGAGAUGUGGAGGAACACCAGUGGCGAAGGCGGCUUUCUGGUCUGUAACUGACGCUGAGGCGCGAAAGCGUGGGGAGCAAACAGGAUUAGAUAACCUGGUAGUCCACGCCGUAAACGAUGAGUGCUAAGUGUUAGGGGGUUUCCGCCCCUUAGUGCUGCAGCUAACGCAUUAAGCACUCCGCCUGGGGAGUACGACCGCAAGGUUGAAACUCAAAGGAAUUGACGGGGGCCCGCACAAGCGGUGGAGCAUGUGGUUUAAUUCGAAGCAACGCGAAGAACCUUACCAGGUCUUGACAUCCCACUGACCGGCUUAGAGAUAGGCUUUUCCCUUCGGGGACAGUGGUGACAGGUGGUGCAU
rnacentral:rRNA from 1 species